rnacentral:rRNA from 1 species
CUACGGGGUGCUGCAGUGAGGAAUAUUGCACAAUGGGGGAAACCCUGAUGCAGCAACGCCGCGUGGAGGAUGACGCAUUUCGGUGUGUAAACUCCUUUUAUGAGUCAAGAAAAUGACGGUAGCUCAUGAAUAAGCACCGGCUAACUCCGUGCCAGCAGCCGCGGUAAUACGGAGGGUGCAAGCGUUACUCGGAAUCACUGGGCGUAAAGGACGCGUAGGCGGGCUUGUAAGUCAGGUGUGAAAUCCUACAGCUUAACUGUAGAACUGCACUUGAAACUACGAGCCUAGAGUAUGGGAGGGGCAGAUGGAAUUAGUGGUGUAGGGGUAAAAUCCGUAGAUAUCACUAGGAAUACCGAAAGCGAAGGCGAUCUGCUGGAACAUUACUGACGCUAAGGCGUGAAAGCGUGGGGAGCAAACGGGAUUAGAUACCCGGGUAGUC